GUUGCUUGCAAGGGCGUAUGGUGGAUGCCUUGGCAGACAGUACCGAUGAAGGACGUUUGAGGCUGCGAUAUGCCUCGGGGAGCCGCCAGCAGGGCUUUGAUCCGAGGAUUUCCGAAUGGGGGAACCCGCCGGCCGUCAUGGGCCGGCACCGCGUUCGCGCGGGGGGUACGCAGGGAAGUGAAACAUCUCAGUACCUGCAGGAAAGGAUGUUCCGUGAGUAGUGGCGAGCGAAAGCGGAUCAGGCCAAACCGCGCGCGUGUGACAGGCGCCAGCCGUUGCGCGCGUGGUGUUGAGGGAGCGUGUGUCCGGGUCCUGGCGGGCCCGGCCGGAGUGAUAAAACGGCGUGUGAGGCGAACCGGAUUGAAUGCCGGGCCGCAGAGGGUGAUGGCCCCGUAGCCGAACGCGCGUCGUCUCCGGAUCGUGUCUCCCAAGUAGCGCGGGACUCGUGGAAUCCCGUGUGAAUCCGCCCCGACCGUGGGGUAAGCCUAGAUAUACCUGUCUGACCGAUAGCGAACUAGUACCGUGAGGGAAAGGUGAAAAGCACCCCGGGAGGGGAGUGAAACAGUCUCUGAAACCGUGCGCUUACAAACCGUCGGAGCCUUUCGGGGUGACGGCGUGCCUAUCGAAAAAUGAGUCUGCGAGUCAGUGGCACGUGGCGAGCGUAACCCGUGUGGGGUACGCGUAGCGAAGGCGAGUCUCAAAAGGCGUUUGAGUCGCGUGUCCUGGACCCGAAGCGGGAUGAUCUAGCCCUGAGCAGGUUGAAGCGCGGGUAAGACCGCGUGGAGGACCGAACCCACCUGGGUUGAAAACCGGGGGGAUGACUUGGGGUUAGGGGUGAAAGGCCAAUCAAAUUCCGUGAUAGCUGGUUCUCUCCGAAAUGCAUUUAGGUGCAGCGUCGGGGAUUACGUCCGGGGGGUAGAGCUACUGGAUGCUUGAGGGCCCGUAUCGGGUACCGACAGCAGCCAAACUCCGAAUACCCGUGACGCGUAUCCCGGCAGUGAGUCGGCGGGGGAUAAGCUCCGUCGUCGAAAGGGAGACAGCCCAGAUCGUCGUCUAAGGUCCCCAAGCGCGUGCUAAGUGGGAAAGGAUGUGGAGUCGCAUAGACAGCCAGGAGGUUGGCUCAGAAGCAGCCACCCUUGAAAGAGUGCGUAACAGCUCACUGGUCUAGUGGUUCCGCGCCGACAAUGUAGCGGGGCUCAAGCACGCCACCGAAGACGCGGCAGCGUCCGUCUGGACGCUGGGUAGGAGAGCGUCCCCAUCGGGGCGAAGCGGCGGCGCAAGCCUGCCGUGGACCGUUGGGGAGUGAGAAUGCAGACAUGAGUAGCGAGAGGCGGGUGCGAAUCCCGCCCGCUGGAUGACCAAGGGUUCCGGGGCCACGUUCGUCGUCCCCGGGUGAGUCGGGUCCUAAGGCGAGGCCGACAGGCGUAGUCGAAUGGAUGAACGGGCUGAUAUUCCCGUACCGGCAGCGAACCGAAACAACCGAGGCCUGGGGCGCUAACCUCCGGGUCCGUGCCGUCUCCCCUUUCGGGGGGUCGCGGCGCGGGCGCGUUGGGAUCCCCCCUCGUAGUAGGUCAGCGCAGGAGUGACGCAUCAGGGCAGCCGGCCGCGGAGGUGGUUUUCCGUGGUCAAGCGUUCGAGCCCGUCCCGCAGGCAAAUCCGCGGGGCGUCGGGGCGAGGCGUGAUGAUGGGGGCCUUACGGCCCGAAUCCGGUGAUCCGUGGUGCCGAGAAAAGCUUCGGCGUCAGGCGCGUUGCCGCCCGUACCCCAAACCGACACUGGUGGUCAGGUAGAGAAUACCAAAGCGAUCGAGCGAAUCCUGGUCAAGGAACUCGGCAAAUUGCUCCCGUGCCUUCGGCAUAAGGGAGACCCCCUGCGGUGAUGAGCGGCGGGGGGUGGCACAGGCCAGGGGGUAGCGACUGUUUACCAAAAACACAGGAGCGUGCGAAGGCGCAAGCCGCUGUAUACGCUCUGACGCCUGCCCGGUGCCGGAAGGUUAAGAGGAUCCGUCAGCUUUCUGCGAAGCGGUGAAUUCAAGCCCCGGUAAACGGCGGUGGUAACUAUAACCAUCCUAAGGUAGCGAAAUUCCUUGUCGGGUAAGUUCCGACCUGCACGAAUGGCGUAACGACUUCCCCACUGUCUCGACCAGGAGCUCGGCGAAAUUGCAGUACGAGUAAAGAUGCUCGUUAAGCGCAGAAGGACGAAAAGACCCCGGGACCUUUACUAUACCUUGGUAUUGGCAUUAGGCGCGGAUUGUGUAGCAUAGGCGGGAGGCUUCGAGGCGGGUGCGCCAGCAUCCGCGGAGCCGCAAGG
rnacentral:rRNA from 1 species